rnacentral:rRNA from 1 species
UACGGAGGGAGCUAGCGUUGUUCGGAUAUACUGGGCGUAAAGCGCACGUAGGCGGCGCAGCAAGUCAGGGGUGAAAUCCCGGAGCUCAACUCCGGAACUGCCCCUUGAAACUGCAGUGCUAGAAUUCUGGAGAGGCGAGUGGAAUUCCGAGUGUAGAGGUGAAAUUCGUAGAUAUUGGGAAGAACACCAGUGGCGAAGGCGGCUCACUGGCCCGUAACUGACGCUGAGGUGCGAAAGCGUGGGGAGCAAACAGG